rnacentral:rRNA from 1 species
GAUGAACGCUGGCGGCGUGCCUAAUACAUGCAAGUCGAGCGAACGGACGAGAAGCUUGCUUCUCUGAUGUUAGCGGCGGACGGGUGAGUAACACGUGGAUAACCUACCUAUAAGACUGGGAUAACUUCGGGAAACCGGAGCUAAUACCGGAUAAUAUUUUGAACCGCAUGGUUCAAAAGUGAAAGACGGUCUUGCUGUCACUUAUAGAUGGAUCCGCGCUGCAUUAGCUAGUUGGUAAGGUAACGGCUUACCAAGGCAACGAUGCAUAGCCGACCUGAGAGGGUGAUCGGCCACACUGGAACUGAGACACGGUCCAGACUCCUACGGGAGGCAGCAGUAGGGAAUCUUCCGCAAUGGGCGAAAGCCUGACGGAGCAACGCCGCGGGAGGGAUGAAGGUCGUCGGAUCGUAAAACUCUGUUAUUAGGGAAGAAAAAUAUGUGUAAGUAACUGUGCACAUCUUGACGGUACCUAAUCAGAAAGCCACGGCUAACUACGUG